CAAAGUUUUGGUCCUAAACUUGCCAUUGUUUUUAAUCAAAAUUAUACAUGCAAGCCUCCACCUUCCAGUGAAAAUGCCCAUUUUAUCCUAAACAGACUAUUGGAGCAGACAUCAGGCCUCAACAAACUUUUAGCCAAAGACGUCUUGCCUUUGCCACACCCCCACGGGCCCUCAGCAGUAGUUAACAUUAAAACAUAAGCGAAAGCUUGACUUAGCUAUGAUUAACACGGCCGGUAAAUUUCGUGCCAGCCGCCGCGGUUAUACGAAAGGCCAAAAACAAUGACCCCCCCGGCGUAAAGCGUGACUAGAAGUCCACAGCCCUAUUAAAGAAACAUGACCGCCAAGUCGUAAAACGCCAACGCGCACCAGAGCAACAACACAACGUCUUUAAAACUGCUGACACUUUCACCUCACUAAAACUAAGAGACAAACUGGGAUUAGAUACCCCACUAUGCUUAGUCCUAAACACAGAAGGCACCAAUACAAAGCCCUCCGCCAGAGAACUACAAGCGAAAAGCUACAAACUCUAAGGACUUGGCGGUGCUUCAAACCAACCUAGAGGAGCCUGUCCUAUAAUCGAUACCCCUCGUUUCACCUCACCUCCCCUCGCCCCCAGCCUAUAUACCGCCGUCGCCAGCCUACCCUAUGAAAGAAACAAAGUAGGCAAAACAGUUAACAACUAAUACGUCAGGUCAAGGUGUAGCACAUGGAGAGGAAGAGAUGGGCUACAUUUUAUAAACAAACACACGAAUAGCACACUGAAACCAUGCUUGAAGGAGGAUUUAGUAGUAAGAUAGUAAAGAAAAACUAACUUAAACCUGCUCUGAAGCGCGCACACACCGCCCGUCACCCUCAUCACACGUCCUAUCAUACAAAAUAUAACACAAAGACAAACAAGAUGAGGCAAGUCGUAACAUGGUAAGCGCACUGGAAAGUGCGCUUGGAAUAA
rnacentral:ncRNA from 1 species